rnacentral:rRNA from 1 species
UACAGAGGGUGCAAGCGUUAAUCGGAAUUACUGGGCGUAAAGCGCGCGUAGGUGGUUUGUUAAGUUGGAUGUGAAAUCCCCGGGCUCAACCUGGGAACUGCAUCCAAAACUGGCAAGCUAGAGUAUGGUAGAGGGUGGUGGAAUUUCCUGUGUAGCGGUGAAAUGCGUAGAUAUAGGAAGGAACACCAGUGGCGAAGGCGGCCCCCUGGUUGGA